rnacentral:rRNA from 1 species
UACGGAGGGAGCUAGCGUUGUUCGGAAUUACUGGGCGUAAAGGGCGCGUAGGCGGCCUUCUAAGUCGAACGUGAAAUCCCUGGGCUCAACCCAGGAACUGCGUCCGAUACUGGAAGGCUUGAAUCCGGGAGAGGGAUGCGGAAUUCCAGGUGUAGCGGUGAAAUGCGUAGAUAUCUGGAGGAACACCGGUGGCGAAGGCGGCAUCCUGGACCGGUAUUGACGCUGAGGCGCGAAAGCCAGGGGAGCAAACGGG